AAACAUAUUGUUUGAAAUGUGCUUGGAGAAAUUAUUAGAUAAAUUUAUUCUACCAUGUCACCUAUAGACACAGUGAAUAAAAACUUCGCCACUUCAAUCCAUCCAGUUGGUUGCCCUUAAAUGCUAACCAUGGUUUAGGAGGACAAAAUUGAUAGGACUACUCUGUUCCCAUUCGUCCCAUAUAAAGCCACCCACCCUCCCACACCGGCAA
rnacentral:lncRNA from 1 species